UUGAGAUCAGGCUCAGACGCCAUUACAGGGUGUACGAUCUCUGAUGUAAAUGAACAUAUUUGGAGGAUUUUAAGAGAAUCUAACUGAGACUCCAGUUGGGACCAACAGCUGAGAGCUUCACUCCCAGGGUCUGUCCUUGUAAUCCUACCGAAGUCCCAUGAUGCACUGGGGGGAGGGUUUCUACGGCGACUCUGACAGUCAACAAACAUGGCCGACGCUGCAGGGAGCUCUGAGCCACAUGAACGUUCCCACUCCCACAUCCCAACGUUCUCAGCCGGACAUCCCAUGAUCCCCAAACUGUACGUGAUGCCAUGGAAACAGGACAUGAAGAACCAGAGGCUGCUGAUGAAGAACGCAGCUCUGGCUGGGAUCCCUGUGCUUCCUCUGGAGGAGUCUUUGUGUUUUUGUGGUCGGGAGCAUCUCUGCCACAGCCAGCGCUCCACCCAGACCUCCUCCUCCUACUCCUCCUCCUGGGCUCCUCCUGGGCUCCUCUCAGCCAGACAGGAAUGACAGCUCAUCACUCCUCCCACUUCUCCAGGUACAACAGCUCUGUGGUGACGACCAGACGACUUCACCAAACCUGAGGACAGAUCAGUCCUUCACCACAAACACUUCACACACAGGUGUUUAACUUGGUUUCAGCUGCAACACAAAUCUCAUCAAUAAUAGUUUUGUGAACCAGUGAACCAGUUUCCAUCAUCCCUCUUGACUGAGUGAUGAAUUCAACUCUUUUUCAGCUUCUUUUCAUCUCUGGGAGUCUUGACACCUUUAUGCAUAUGUGAGGAUUAUUGCAAUAAACAUCUGUGAAAGACA